UAAACACGUUUUGGGGCUGCGGGGCUGCGGGCCCAGGGUGGCGGGUCCGGCUCGCGGGGUCCAGGAGCGGAGAAGGGGCGCUGGCCGGGAGCGGCCCGGGUCUAGGCGCCCACACGAGGGUGGGACCCGGCAGGACGCUGCCGCCGCCUGGGAGCCUCGGUCCGGGCUGCCUGUGCCCUGGAGCCGCCCGGGCGGUCCCCACAGCGCCCACCGCCCGAGCCCGCUGUCCCCGUUGUCACCUGAGGGCUCUCCUCAGCGGAGCUGCUGUUCACAGCUGGGCGGGGUUUGACUUGCAGGGUCCUGGUCAGGAUGCGGGGGCCUCAGCAGAGUGGCCUGCGCCGCGGACCUCAGGGGAGAAGAGGUGGCCUGACCCGCAGCCCCCUGGAGAGGGGAGGGCGACGGAGGAGCCCAGUGUGACCUGGGGAGCAGGAGGCGGUUUAAAAGAGGGACCCGCCCAGAUGGAAACAUUGGCCGAGGAAGAGGUCAUCAAGUUGGCAAAGAAGCCAUUUUGUGAAGCACCUGUUGACUCAAGGCUUUUGAUGAUGAACUCACGUAUGGAGACUUUAAUUCUUCCUAGAUCUUUGCAUUUGGGAGACAGUGCCCUCAAACACUUCUGUGCAGCUGGGAAUGCAGGCUUCUGCUUCGCCUUGAAGGAAGCAUUAAUGAAUCCUUUCCAGAAGACAUGAGAAGAGAGAAGUGAGCCUCUGGUAUCAUGCAGGUUCCUUGCAUUGCCCAUGGGCUAGAAGAGAGAAGAGUUGCUUCAUGAGAUUUGAUCCCCUUUUUCCUGAAAAGUUCCACACAGAGUAGGCAAGUCCUUGGAUCCCCUGCUAGAAAGUCUUCUGGCCUGAAGGUCAGAUGUGUCCAGAUGUUGACUUGAAGGAUAUCAGCUCCUAGAAGCCCUCAUCCUGGCUGCAGUGUUUCCUCCCCUCAAUGCAAAGCAAGAAAGUGCAGUUGGCCCUGCACCCAUUCUUCUGCAUCCAUGGUCCCCACCAGCUGGAAAUCCAAACUAUCAGGAAAGUAGUUGUGUCUCUCUGGACAGAUACUUGUCUCCUCAUUGUUUCCUGGAUCUUACAGUUUACAGAGAAUGACAUUGCCCUUUCAUUGUAUUAGGUGUCACAAAUCAUCUGGAAAUAAUGGAAAUGCUACAGGAAGAAGAUAUGCAGCGUUUAGAUGCAAAUACUCUGGCAUUUUUGUAAGAGACUCAAGCCUGUGUGGAUGGUGUUUUUGGGCGGACUUUGAACAAAUCUCCCUUGGAUUUCCUGUGACAUUUCUGGUUUCGGGCUUGGGAGUGUUCAGGACUUGAGUGUGAGUCAGCCCCAUGGGGAUGUGGUAGGAGGGCAGUCGGAGCUGUUGUGCAGAACCUCAGUGAUGGCUUGUAAGGCCACCUGCAACACUGCAAGCAGCAGACGAGAAGGGAGCCCUCUCCCCAUGUGUUCAGCUUAACUCUUGUCUUAUCCAAAAUCGACUUGUGAAAUGUUGCAGAAAUGGAGUCAUGCCAAGAAGUUGGGAUGUUCUGGGGAGCAUGGGCUAUCAUUCUAUUCUGUCUCUGCAUUAUGCUGUGUUAGCGGGUGAGAACUUGAAGAUGUGCUUAGGCCAUGGAGUCUCCUUCCCUGGGAAGGGGGUUCUCAAAGCAGCCCUUGUCCCUGUUUCACCUGCUUCCAGAGGAGAACACAACAAGAACGUUCUUACAAGUUGGCCCCCGGUCUUGGUCUUCCAGCCUCCCAAGUUUGAGAAAUAAAAUCUAUGCUAUGAAUUAAAAAAAAAAAAAUAAAAAAAAUAAAAU
rnacentral:lncRNA from 1 species